GAUGAAGAACGUAGCAAAAUGCGAUACUUGGUGUGAAUUGCAGAAUCCCGUGAACCAUCGAGUUUUUGAACGCAAGUUGCGCCCGAAGCCUUUUGGCCGAGGGCACGUCUGCCUGGGCGUCACGAAUCGCGUCGCCCCCCACAAUUCUCCGUAAAGGGAACAUGUGUUUUGGGGGCGGAUAUUGGUCCCCCGUGCUCAUGGCGUGGUUGGCCGAAAUAGGAGUCCUUUCGAUGGACGCAUGAACUAGUGGUGGUCGUAAAAACCCUCGUCUUUUGUUUCGUGCUGUUGCUCGCAAGGUAAACUCUUUAAAAACCCCAAUGUGUCGUCUCUUGACGACGCUUCGACCGCGACCCCAGGUCAGGCGGGACUACCCGCUGAGUUUAAGCAUAUCAAUGAGCGGAGGA
rnacentral:misc_RNA from 1 species